rnacentral:rRNA from 1 species
CACGUAGGGCGCGAGCGUUGUCCGGAAUUAUUGGGCGUAAAGAGCUCGUAGGCGGCCUGUUGCGUCCGCUGUGAAAGCCCGGGGCUUAACCCUGGGCCUGCAGUGGAUACGGGCAGACUAGAGGUAGGUAGGGGAGAAUGGAAUUCCCGGUGUAGCGGUGAAAUGCGCAGAUAUCGGGAGGAACACCGGUGGCGAAGGCGGUUCUCUGGGCCUUACCUGACACUGAGGAGCGAAAGCGUGGGGAGCGAACAGG